rnacentral:rRNA from 1 species
UACGUAGGGUGCGAGCGUUGUCCGGAAUUAUUGGGCGUAAAGAGCUCGUAGGCGGCUUGUCGCGUCGGAUGUGAAAGCCCGGGGCUUAACUCCGGGUCUGCAUUCGAUACGGGCAGGCUAGAGUGCGGUAGGGGAGACUGGAAUUCCUGGUGUAGCGGUGAAAUGCGCAGAUAUCAGGAGGAACACCGGUGGCGAAGGCGGGUCUCUGGGCCGUAACUGACGCUGAGGAGCGAAAGCGUGGGGAGCGAACAGG